UUCAGUGCAGGGUGGUGGAGACCUGAUGAUACCCAACUACCAGCUGUGGGGUGAGGAGGAGCAUGAAUGGAGACAGAGACCCCAGAUAAUUAAGGACGUCCCACUUUGCCAGCAGAAUAAAAGGUGGUAUGUAUCUUGUGACAUGUAUCAGGUGAAGGAUGCUUUUGUGCAUCUGUGUGUGUGUGCCUGGGGUGUGUAUGUGUCAGGUACUGUAUGUAGUCAUUUUGUCACUUUGUCAUUUUGGGGUCUGGAGGGCUCCUCCAACCAUGUUUCUGAGUAUACAUUCACGUGCAAUGGUGUGCCUGACUAUACAUUCAAGUGCAAGGCCAAGAAUGUUUGUUAGAAAGACUGAGUAGUCCCAGACUUAAUAAAUAUUUGUUGAGUACUUUUGUGGUGCUCUGGGAAGCCAGAAGUUGUUUAAAAUAAAUCUCUCCAACACCAGUAGGGUAAAGGCACAGGAGGUCACAGCACUCAGCAGUUCAGUAUAAGCCUUUAUUCAAGCUGUUUUCUCCCAAAGUAAACAGACAGACAAUGUCACUUCUAUCUGAGAAGCCUGGAGGCCAAGGGGAUUUGGGCAGUUUUGACAUCCUGUGCUGGCCCCUGACAGCCCAGCCCUGGGAUGGACGACUUGGAUGCAGGGACUGGACCGUUCAGGAGCUGGGGCAUUGUGGGAGUGGCCAUUAUGUCUGUCCUGGUUUGGGGGUCUGAAGGGGGUCCUUCAACUGUGUUUCUGAACAGGAUGAGGCUUUUGAGGGGGGUUGGGAAGGUGGCCAAGCCCUUCCCAGACUUCCACCCCCCAUCACAGAAGAGGAGGCCUGUCUAGGUCAGCUAAAUCCGAGGAGGAAGACUGGGCAUGUCUGGGCAGCGAUCUCUAGACAUCGGAGAGCAGAUGUCAGAACUCACAGCUUCUCCAAAGCAGGAUUUUGAUCUUUUAACUAAAGAUAUCCGUUCAAACU
rnacentral:sRNA from 1 species